rnacentral:rRNA from 1 species
CAAUAGCGUAUACUAAAGUUGUUGCGAUUAAAAAGCUCGUAGUUGGAUCUCAGGCAUGGGCGCACGGUCCGCCUCGCGGCGGUCACUGUGUGUUUUGUUUCCCAUCCUACGCUUCCCGGUUAUCAGCCCAUGGUGCUCUUCAAUGAGCGUUUUGGGUGGCCGGAACGUUUACUUUGAAGAAAUUAGAGUGUUCAAAGCAGGCACGUUGCCUGAAUAAUGGUGCAUGGAAUAAUGGAAUAGGACCUCGGUUCUAUUUUGCUGGUUUUCGGAACACGAGGUAAUGAUUAAGAGGGACAGACGGGGGCAUCCGUAUUGCGGUGUUAGAGGUGAAAUUCUUGGAUCAUCGCAAGACGAACAACUGCGAAAGCAUUUGCCAAGCAUGUUUUCAUUAG